AUGGCACAUCAGGUGCUCUGCGUCUCCGUGGGCGCCGCAGUGCCCGCAGCUGUCAUCGCGGUCGGUCCUCCACCUCGCGCGCCCGGCGGGUGUGAAGCUGGAGCCGCUUGCCAGAUAAUCAUCACCACAAUGAGGGUCGCAGUGGUCAUUGCGUUCUUAGUUGGGAUGCUGUCCCUGACAGCUGUGCUUCCGGAACCAGCCUCUGCGGGAAGCGUUCCCGCAGAUCCUGCUGAUGCUGACGUGUUCCAAAUAGCAUUGGAGCUGACAGGCGGAGACGAGGAAGCCGCCAUUUUAACGUUGAUGAACGAAUACAUGCAGGAACUGACUGACCAUCCAGUCCUGCUCUACCAAUGCUACCGGAAUGGAACAACCAUAGAGACAGAAGAUGCACGAAACUUAUCCAUUCUUUUCGACGGUGUGGGUAAAGAGAAAGGACAGGUAUCGGUCCAGAUCUGGUACGUCAACGGCGAUUCUGGCGAAAUCAUCAGGGACACGGCUGAACUGACCCACCACACUGACUCGGACACGGUAACCUUCGCCGCCACAGGGGCGACGUCGGAGGUAACUCUCGUGGACUUCAGAGGCUACAAGAGUCACUACAUAACUGAAGACGUCGAUGGAAACGCCAAGGUUGGUAAGAUCUACGACGUCGACCUCACGUGCACCAAUGGCCAGGAGCUGUACGAGGAAGUCUGUCCAGAUGGAUGCGGCAUGGUGGCCACGAGGAGCUUCGUUUUUUAGAGUGCUCCUCAAUGGCGCUCAAUAUGCCUCUCGUACACUCUCGAAGAAAAUAAAGGAGAGUCACUGCGGUCAUCUCUACGUAUAAACCUAACCUAUGCAACCUACGAACGCGCACCCUACUUUAUGCCAUUUUCUUAUAUUAAACGCAGGAGUUUGCACGCGUCAAUAAAC